UACGUAGGGGGCAAGCGUUGUCCGGAUUUAUUGGGCGUAAAGAGCGUGUAGGCGGCUAUACAGGUCCGCUGUGAAAACUCGAGGCUCAACCUCGAGACGUCGGUGGAAACCGUAUGGCUAGAGUCCGGAAGAGGAGAGUGGAAAUUCCUGGUGUAGCGGUGAAAUGCGCAGAUAUCAGGAAGAACACCCGUGGCGAAGGCGGCUCUCUGGGACGGUACUGACGCUGAGACGCGAAAGCGUGGGGAGCGAACAGG
rnacentral:rRNA from 1 species